rnacentral:rRNA from 1 species
UACAGAGGUCCCAAGCGUUGUUCGGAUUCAUUGGGCGUAAAGGGUGCGUAGGCGGCGCGGUAAGUCGGGUGUGAAAUCUCGGAGCUUAACUCCGAAACUGCAUUCGAUACUGCCGUGCUUGAGGACUGGAGAGGAGACUGGAAUUUACGGUGUAGCGGUGAAAUGCGUAGAUAUCGUAAGGAAGACCAGUGGCGAAGGCGGGUCUCUGGACAGUUCCUGACGCUGAAGCACGAAGGCCAGGGGAGCAAACGGG